UACGUAGGGACCGAGCGUUGUCCGGAUUCAUUGGGCGUAAAGAGCUCGUAGGCGGCUCAGUAAGUCAGGUGUGAAACCUCCAGGCUCAACCUGGAGACGCCACCUGAUACUGCUGUGGCUAGAGUCCGGUAGGGGAGACUGGAAUUCCUGGUGUAGCGGUGAAAUGCGCAGAUAUCAGGAGGGACACCGGUGGCGAAGGCGGGUCUCUGGGCCGUAACUGACGCUGGAGGAGCGAAAGCCGUGGGGAGCGAA
rnacentral:rRNA from 1 species